UACAGAGGUCUCGAGCGUUGUUCGGAUUCAUUGGGCGUAAAGGGUGUGUAGGUGGCGCCGUAAGUCGGGUGUGAAAUUUCGGAGCUUAACUCCGAAACUGCAUUCGAUACUGCGGUGCUUGAGGACUGGAGAGGAGACUGGAAUUCAUGGUGUAGCAGUGAAAUGCGUAGAGAUCAUGAGGAAGACCAGUGGCGAAGACGGGUCUCUGGACAGUUCCUGACACUGAAACACGAAGGCCAGGGGAGCAAACGGG
rnacentral:rRNA from 1 species